AGCUCGUCAUGCUAGAGCACUUUUUCAAUGGGCUCCCCAACGACAAUGCAACAACGCAUUCGUAUGUCAUCCAUAUCAAUCUUCGAUGCCAUUUACCCCACCUACCAUGGUGACCACGGGUAACGGGGAAUCAGGGUUCGAUUUCGGAGAGAGAGCCUGAGAAACGGCUACCACAUGCAAGGAAGGCA